AUGGCCAGUUCGCCUACCAAGGCUUCGCCGGCGCCAACCUUAUGCUGGACGGCCUCGCCGCCGUUAUGCGAACGGCGGCCUGCUCGCGCUCACCAACUUCACGCAGCAGACAAAAGCCCACGCCUUCCACCCCGCGCCGCUCCGCUUCCUCGGCGGCUCCGCCAACGCCACGGCGGCGCGCUCCUUCUCUACGUCCUUCGUCUUUGCCAUCGUGUCGGGCUACGACGGCCUGAGCGACCACGGUCUCGCCUUCGUCGUCGCCCCGACCACCAACUUCACCACCGCCAACUCCGGCCAGUACCUGGGCCUCCUCAACACCACCAACGGCACGGCCAGCGCCCCCAUCUUGGCCGUCGAGCUGGACACCAUCCUCAGCCACGAGUUCCGCGACAUCAACAGCAACCACGUCGGCAUCGACGUCAACAGCCUCGUGUCGCGGCAGGCCCAGCCGGCCGGCUACUACGGCGACGACGGUGCCUUCCGUGA
rnacentral:rRNA from 1 species